rnacentral:rRNA from 1 species
UACGUAGGGUGCUAGCGUUGUCCGGAUUUAUUGGGCGUAAAGAGCUCGUAGGCGGCCUGUUGCGUCCGCUGUGAAAGCCCGGGGCUUAACCCCGGGUCGGCAGUGGAUACGGGCAGGCUAGAGGUAGGUAGGGGAGAAUGGAAUUCCCGGUGUAGCGGUGAAAUGCGCAGAUAUCAGGAGGAACACCGGUGGCGAAGGCGGUCUGCUGGGCAGUUGCUGACACUGAGGCGCGACAGCGUGGGGAGCAAACAGG